GACGUAGGGUGCAACGUUGCCGUGAAUUAUUGGGCGUAAAGCGCACGUAGGCGGUUCGUUAUGUCGGAUGUGAAAGCCCUUGGCUUAACCGAGGAAGUGCAUCCGAAACUGGCGAGCUAGAGUACUAAAGAGGAUCGCGGAAUUCCCGGUGUAGAGGUGAAAUUCGUAGAUAUCGGGAGGAACACCGGUGGCGAAGGCGGCGAUCUGGGUAGAUACUGACGCUGAGGUGCGAAAGCGUGGGGAGCAAACAGG
rnacentral:rRNA from 1 species